AGGGCGCGUGGUGGAUGCCUUGGCACUAGGAGCCGAUGAAGGACGUGACUAACUACGAUAAGCUUUGGUGAGCGGUAAGUACGCUAUGACCCAGAGAUUUCCGAAUGGGGAAACCCAACUCGAAGAGAGUUGUCAUUAUCUGAAUACAUAGGAUAAUGACGGAACACGCUGUGAACUGAAACAUCUCAUUAGCAGCAGGAGAAGAAAGAAAAAUCGAUUCCCUAAGUAGCGGCGAGCGAAAAGGGAAGAGCCCAAACCAGAGUGCUUGCACUCUGGGGUUGUAGGACUGAUAUAUAGGAGUUACAAAAGUGUUUUAUAGCAGAACAAGCUGGGAAGCUUGGCUAUAGAGGGUGAUAGCCCCGUACGCGAAAUAAAGCACCCUCCUUUCAGUAUCCUGAGUACGGCCGGACACGUGAAAUCCGGUCGGAAUCUGCGGGGACCAUCCCGUAAGGCUAAAUACUCCCUAGUGACCGAUAGUGAACCAGUACCGUGAGGGAAAGGUGAAAAGCACCCCGGAAGGGGAGUGAAAUAGUUCCUGAAACCACGACGCCUACAAGAAGUCAGAGCCCGUUAAUGGGUGAUGGCGUGCCUUUUGUAGAAUGAACCGGCGAGUUACGGUAUCGUGCAAGGUUAAGGUGGAAAGACCGGAGCCGCAGCGAAAGCGAGUGUGAAUAGCGCGAAUAGUACGAUGCUGUAGACCCGAAACCAGGUGACCUACCCAUGGUCAG
rnacentral:rRNA from 1 species